GGGAAUACACAUAUAGGCUAUUUUUAAAAUCAGAUGGAUCUCAAUACAGAGAUCAAAACGAAACUCUAAACUCAAAAACAUACACCUGUUUAUUGAAAAGAGAUUUGACCAAAACAGGGUUGUCGACUGAUACUGAAAGACUCUUCAGUAAGGAGUUAUCAGUUAAGUCACAAGAACUUAACUGAUGCACGUAAGGCUUCAGUCGGGUUUGAUAAAAAUAGAGAUGUUAU
rnacentral:lncRNA from 1 species